rnacentral:rRNA from 1 species
AGAGUUUGAUCAUGGCUCAGGACGAACGCUGGCGGCGUGCCUAAUACAUGCAAGUCGAGCGGACUGAUGCAGAGCUUGCUCUGUUGAUGUCAGCGGCGGACGGGUGAGUAACACGUGGGUAACCUGCCUGACAGACUGGGAUAACGCUUGGAAACGAGUGCUAAUACCAGAUAGUCUUUUGAACCGCAUGGUUUGAAAGGGAAAGAAGCUAUCGCUUCACUGUCAGAUGGACCCGCGGCGCAUUAGCUAGUUGGUGAGGUAACGGCUCACCAAGGCGACGAUGCGUAGCCGACCUGAGAGGGUGACCGGCCACACUGGGACUGAGACACGGCCCAGACUCCUACGGGAGGCAGCAGUAGGGAAUCUUCCGCAAUGGGCGCAAGCCUGACGGAGCAACGCCGCGUGAGUGAUGAAGCCCUUCGGGGUGUAAAGCUCUUUCGGCAGGGACGAUAAUGACGGUACCUGAAGAAGAUGCUGCGGCUAACUACGUGCCAGCCGCCGCGGUAAUAC